rnacentral:lncRNA from 1 species
AAUUGUUAAUUAUCUACAAGAGAAUAACUAAACAAAUAAGAGGGGAUUAGAAAAGCGACGCUUAGUCUUCUUGACUGGCAACCAGAACAAUAAAAUAAUGACUAACAACGUCUCAAUCCCAAGCUAGUUAGAGUCAGAAUAGAUAUCGUUCAACAUUCUGUAUAGUAAGGACUCGUGAUAAUUUGAGUAGAUUUACACUAUCUGUCAACCUAGUGCUAUCCUCCUCCUUUGUUUAGGCUUGAGACCGAUAAAAUAAGAUCUUAAAAUUAGUCACACUUCAUCAGUAUGGUGUGGCGAAGACAUGACAGGCAUUGCUAAGCAGGUCGGAGUUUGGUCCCCAGGCAUGAUCACAACCAUACUAUGAUCCCAUUGAUCAGCUGCUGUAAUUGAUGGCUGUUCAGGCCGCUUUUCUGUACUUUGCCUUCGUAAAUCUGGCGAAAAUUCUUUGCUUUUAGAGCAGCAGCAUUUGAGCAGGCAUAAAAAAACCAUGAACCCGAAUAAAACCAUGAGGCAACCAUUGGCGAUGUGGGCCGUUUUGGUAUAUGGUACAGAGGUAAUUUCUUCAGUAUAGGCCAUAGGUACGUUAAAAUUGUUUGUUGAAUUCUGUUAAGUGUAAGCAAAGAUUAUUAACUUUUUAAGUAGCUGAAAAAAUAGCAGAUGUUAUAGAAGACUUGUAAUGUUGAAGUGCAAGUAUAAUUUGGAAAGGAAUAGACAAUGGGACUUCUCCAAAAAGGUGGAAUCCUGGAGUUAUAAGGCAUAAUCAAAUCAUGUGUGGAACAAAUACAGGAACUCUUUCUGAUCUUGUUCAAUUUUGACAGUGACUCUCUUGCUUGUUUGUGCUACUACGUAAUAUCCUGUUUAAGAAAUACCAAAAGCAAAUAAGGAACAAAUUAAAUUAACCAUAUAAAGUUGUGGCUGGACAAUUUCACCAUUAUACAUGCUAUGUUUCAUCUCUUUGAUCAAAUGGAUCUUUUUGUUAAAAUCAAAACAUUGACUACUGAUUUUUGUAACUACUUGUGCGGAUAAAGGUUUCCAAAAAUGAUAUAAUACCCCUGUUUCCGCGGAUUGUAGGGUAAAAUGUUUCUCAUCUUGUAGGGUAAAAAGUUUCCGCGGGCUGUAGAAUAAUUUUUUUUUUUUCUAAAUUUAAUGUAUCUAUUCUCUAACAUAUUUUGUGGAAAAUGUACUACUCACCAACCAAACAAGGAAAAAUAAGUGGUAAAACCACUCAAUAUAUAUCAUGAAAACAUUGUUUAGAAAAAUAUUUUCGUUUGUACCAAACACACCGUUGCUGUCCGUUGGUAUUGUACGUUAUGAAAAUUGAUACACAAUUAUAAGUAACAAAAAAACGUUCAAUAGAAACUGAAUAAGUAACAUAAAUUUACAUCUGUUUGAUACCAAAAAGAGUACUAAUCAUUGUCCUAGUGUAAGAAGUGAGAACCUUAGGCCUUCAACGUUUUGAGAAGCUACAACAUAAUGAUGGUGGCAACCUGAAGCUCAAUCUUGAAGCCAAGUUUGCACAGGCCCCAGGUUUGAUGCUUGGAGAUUUGCAGUCAGCUGAAGAAGAAAGGUGAAGAUUGAUCAAAAGAAAAUGAAUUAAUUGGGGUCUCUUAGCGUGGCCACGUAGUAGAGCAUGUGGACAAGUGUAUUUGCUAGUAAUAGUUAUGCGUGUGAGUUCUUC